AUACAAUAGUCGGUACAGAGGACGUGCCAACCCGCGAGGGGGAGCUAAUCCCACAAAGCCGAUCGUAGUCCGGAUCGCAGUCUGCAACUCGACUGCGUGAAGUCGGAAUCGCUAGUAAUCGUGGAUCAGCAUGUCACGGUGAAUACGUUCCCGGGUCUU
rnacentral:rRNA from 1 species